rnacentral:lncRNA from 1 species
GCUGAGACAUGCAGAGAAUUUUUAUUUAUCACAUUUGUUAAUACUUAAGUUUUACUUGUAGAACAGAGUCACAGAUAGAAGAGCAGGCCUAAUACUUAAGUUUUACUUGUAGAACAGAGUCACAGAUAGAAGAGCAGGCCUAAUACUUAAGUUUUACUUGUAGAACAGAGUCACAGAUAGAAGAGCAGGCCGUUAGUAGGUAUUAGUAGGAUUCAGUCAGGGAUGUAGCAUAGCAUCUAGGAAGUAUACAGGAGGUGGUUCAAUAGGGAAGUGGGUUCAAUAGAGAAGGGUCAUAGCUCUCAAAUGCCAACUUUUGGUACAGUAAGCUGUCAAUCACUGUUUAUGUAGAUGCUUUGGGUGGUUGAUACACUACAUAUUUGUCAAUUAGGGGUUAC